AGUCAGAAUCCGUGCUAGAAACGAUGAUGUUGGUGUCGCACAUUAGACUUGUGUUUAAAUAGAGCUUUGCUCGUGAACCAAAUAUGGUGGGCUGGGUUGUCUUUGCGGAAACGCUUGGGCGACUUGUCUACGAAUUGUAAUCAUAAUAUGGGCGGCGGUGAAUCCUUUGCAGACGACUUGAAUGGGAACGGGGUACUGUAAGUGGUAGAGUAGCCUUGUUGCUACGAUCCACUGAGGUUAAGCCCUUGUUCUAAAGAUUUGUUC
rnacentral:rRNA from 1 species